AGCCAUCAACAAACAUAGAACACAUUAGGAGAUAUAGAUUUGGCACCAGAUUUGUAAUGCAGACCUACUGUAGGAAGACUCUAAGGUUUUGAGCCAGUCUGAACAGGACAGUACCUUCUGCCAAUGGAGAUUGUGGUGGAUGAUUCGUGAGUACGUAUUUACUGUGGGAAAAAUUGCAUUUGAUGGCUCAAUUUGUAUUUGGAUUGAAGGAUAGCCUCAGCCAAUAGGAAACGAAGAUUAACCAUAAAGGAUUCAAAGUAGAAGCAGGAGGUGACCUAGCCACACGGCAGCCCAUCCACAUGUUGAGCUGAGGAAUGCAGAAGGAAAGCAAGAGUAUUUAGAAGGUGAAAUGAAGGGACAAAUUGAAGGAGCAGAGGAUUUGUUCAUAUUUCUCUUCUAGAUCAAAAGAUAAAGACGAAUGUUAGGGCUUCUAACCCAGCAGGAGUUAUGCUGUCAAUUCUCAAAGUAAUGAGCCAGCUGAAAAGAGCAGCACUCAGUCCUCACCGUCUUGGUCCAGUCUUCUCCAUGUGAAGAGCUGUCUGGAUGUGAACACAUUCACGAGAUCAUCUUAGGGAACUCAAACCCAUCUUACAAUAUGAUCAUUCUUCAAUCAGCAAUGAUCUUUGUUACACAAAAAUAUAUCAAAUGUUAGUUUUAUUUCUGUUAAAACUCAUUAAUAUAAAGUAAAAUUUCAGAGUGCUUUUGUGAAACUGGGAAUCAGAAUGAGCCUUUCCUAAUAAGCUGGUCCUGGAACUCUGAAGUCAGAUAUUUGUGGUCAUAGCCUCUAUUGUUAUCUUGAAUUUUUGUUGUUGUUGUUGUAAACCUCUCAACUCUUCAAAGGACCUCUUUGUUAACAUUCCCAUUAUUCAGAAUUAGUUCCAUGCCUGAACUCCUGCUCCCUAGACGGCAAACACAACUCCAUGGUCAAUCCAUAGCUUCACUAAUGGCAACUCCAGUCACAUAACAGAUGGGAACACUAAUGAAUAAAAUGCCCUCUGUCAGAACAAACAUUAUCUAUCUAUAUCUACAUUUAUAUCUAUCUUCAUUUAUCUCUAUCUAUAUAAAAAUGUAAUCACAGAAACCGUGGUUCAUUUUCUGAUCCAGAAAUCAGCUCUAGUGGUUGCUGAUAUUCUUUUGAAGACCAUAGAAAUAAGCAUUUUAGAUCAGUAUUAUCAAAGAAAUUCCCAAAUGCAUGAUCAUUUUGAAGAGAAUACUCUGACACUUCUCAUAACUUCAUCUUAAUUCUCAAUAAAUCUCUCUUCAUCCUGUUAUUUUGUAGUCAAUAUUCUGUGUUCUAAUAUGUAGAGCUGGGAAUACAAGGAUAGUGGGUAUGGGAAACUGGAUAAUGUGAAAAAUACUAGUGGGGUAAAUUUACAUAUGGCAUGAAGAGAAUAUUUACCCAACAAAUUAACUGUUAAAAUUUAGCUUAAGUCAUGCCUAUAAGGUAUAUAAAUUCUUUAAUUUGCUGAAUUCUUCUUCUUUUGAUACUUUUUUCUGUAGGUCAUUUUAAACGUUUCUUGCUUUAUUCUCUCUCCACUAAUUAGUCGUUACAUUUUCAACAAUAUUUUGUAGGGUAACAAGUGAGUUACUUUUCGCAUUUGAAAUUUCAACAACCAGACCAAGAAAGCUCAAGCUACUUUCCUUUAAGUAGUUUCUGGCAAAGAAUUCUGACGUAGGUAACUUACUGUUUACAUGCUACAUCCUGCCGAGUUCUGGAUUUGGACUUGGAGAAUCUGUGAUAGAGAAAUUCUUAAAUGUUUAGCUCAGUUUGAACUAAUGUUUUUGUUUGGAAUUUGCACGUAAUUUUUUCCAAAUAAACUAUAUGAGAAAAUCG
rnacentral:lncRNA from 1 species